rnacentral:rRNA from 1 species
AGAAUCAACGCUGGCGGCGCGCUUAACACAUGCAAGUCGCACGAGAAAAGGGCAACCUUAGUAAAGUGGCGUACGGGUGAGUAACACGUGGAUCAUACACCUUUUAGUGGGGAAUAACUUUGGGAAACCGAAGCUAAAUACCGCAUAAGCCCGAGAGGGGAAAGCAGCAAUGCGCUGAAAGAGUAGUCCGCGGCUGAUUAGCUAGUUGGUGAGGUAAUGGCUCACCAAGGCUUUGAUCGGUAGCCGGCCUGAGAGGGCUCACGGCCACACUGGCACUGAAACACGGGCCAGACUCCUACGGGAGGCAGCAGUGGGGAAUCUUGCACAAUGGAGGAAACUCUGAUGCAGCGACGCCGCGUGAGUGAUGAAGCCCUUCGGGGUGUAAAGCUCUUUCGACGGGAACGAUAAUGACGGUACCCGGAGAAGAAGCUGCGGCUAACUACGUGCCAGCAGCCGC